AAAUUUGGGCCAUUAUUUUAUUUUAGGGACCAUUAUCGGUCCCCUACAAAGAAACAUUUUUAAAAAAUUAAAUAAUGAAAUUCAGGAAUAUAGCUACCGUCUGUAGCAAUUAAAUAAGACACCGGUCACAGAAAAUAUAAUGAAUUUAUGUAAAAUACUUUAUUUAUUUACAAAUUACGGUAACUCUGUUGUUGUUUUUGGUAACGCAAUUGUUUUUCAUACAAAAAUUGUCUGUCCCUCGGAGCGAGUCAUAUGAAACAAGCACAACGUGUGUAAAAAAUUAUAAUGGAAACAUUUUUUUUGAAUAUUAUAACGAAUAUGUCAUUAUUUAAACUUUACUUCACGGUAAUAUUCAUGAUUUUAUAUGAACAUAUUAUGGGACAAUUAAUAUUCCUGGCCGAGUCCCCAAGCCUAAGCAAAAAUACACCUACACUAGGUUACCCUAGGAAAUUCAAUCAUAAAUAAACUUUUUUUCACUUUCUUACACCUAAGAUCAUUUGAAUGGCUGUGUAUUUGUAUCGGAGUGCAGGAAGGAGAGCGGGACGGAUAAAAUGACCAAGUCUUUCGGAUGAGAGUCCUGGAGAGAAGCGCGUGUAUUUAUUGUGACGCCACUGAGUUACCGGCGACAUACGUAUAACAUUUCAGACUCAAUGGCGUAAACAGCGGCUGAAAAACAACGGCUUUAUAGG